GAUGAAGAACGCAGCAAAUGCGAUAAGUAAUGUGAAUUGCAGAAUUCAGUGAAUCAUCGAAUCUUUGAACGCACCUUGCGCUCCUUGGUAUUCCGAGGAGCAUGCCUGUUUGAGUGUCAUGAAAUUCUCAACCUUUUCAGCUUUCUUUGUUGAUCAGGCUUGGAUGUGGGAGUAUGCGGGCUUCUCAGAAGUCGGCUCUCCUGAAAUGCAUUAGCGGGACCUUUGUUGCCUGGCUUUGGUGUGAUAAUUAUCUACGCCAUUGUAGUCAAGCAGCUUAAAAUGAGGUUUCAGCUUCUAACCGUCUCCCCUGAGACAACUUUUUGACAAUUUGACCUCAAAUCAGGUAGGACUACCCGCUGAACUUAAGCAUAUCAAUAAGCGGAGGA
rnacentral:misc_RNA from 1 species